UACGGAGGGUGCAAGCGUUAAUCGGAAUUACUGGGCGUAAAGCGCACGCAGGUGGCUGAGUCAGUCGAUUGUGAAAGCCCUGGGCUUAACCUGGGAAUUGCAGUUGAUACUACUCGGCUAGAGUAUGGGAGAGGGCAGUGGAAUUCCCAGUGUAGCGGUGAAAUGCAUAGAUAUCGAAAAGAACAUCAGUGGCGAAAACGGCUGCCUGGCCCAAUACUGACACUCAAGUGCGAAAGCAUGGAAAGCAAACAGG
rnacentral:rRNA from 1 species